rnacentral:sRNA from 1 species
UGAUCGGGACCCCCGACGUUUGCAAUA